rnacentral:rRNA from 1 species
GAUCUCCUCGGGGCGCAGCAGUGAGGAAUAUUGGUCAAUGGACGGAAGUCUGAACAAGCCAUGCCGCGUGCAGGAAGACGGCUCUAUGAGUUGUAAACUGCUUUUGUACGAGGGUAAACCUGAAUACGUGUAUUCAGCUGAAAGUACUGUACGAAUAAGGAUCGGCUAACUCCGUGCCAGCAGCCGCGGUAAUACGGAGGAUCCAAGCGUUAUCCGGAUUUAUUGGGUUUAAAGGGUGCGUAGGCGGAUUGAUAAGUUAGAGGUGAAAUGUCCGAGCUUAACUCGGGAACUGCCUCUAAUACUGU